UAGCUGGCCCGCUGGGUGUGG
rnacentral:misc_RNA from 1 species